rnacentral:rRNA from 1 species
AGCGAACGCUGGCGGCAGGCCUAACACAUGCAGGUCGAACGAACUCUUCGGAGUUAGUGGCGGACGGGUGAGUAACACGUGGGAACGUGCCUUUAGGUUCGGAAUAACUCAGGGAAACUUGUGCUAAUACCGAAUGUGCCCUUCGGGGGAAAGAUUUAUCGCCUUUAGAGCGGCCCGCGUCUGAUUAGCUAGUUGGUGAGGUAAAGGCUCACCAAGGCGACGAUCAGUAGCUGGUCUGAGAGGAUGAUCAGCCACAUUGGGACUGAGACACGGCCCAAACUCCUACGGGAGGCAGCAGUGGGGAAUCUUGCGCAAUGGGCGAAAGCCUGACGCAGCCAUGCCGCGUGAAUGAUGAAGGUCUUAGGAUUGUAAAAUUCUUUCACCGGGGACGAUAAUGACGGUACCCGGGGAAGAAGCCCCGGCUAACUUCGUGCCAGCCGCCGCCGUAA